rnacentral:antisense_RNA from 1 species
CUUCACCGACCCCAGCAGCAGCGGCCGACCGUCCGCGCGGUCCUGCCCGUAGGUGGCCAGCAGCGCCUGCGCCUC